GAUAAACGCUGGCGGCGUGCUUUAUGCAUGCAAGUCGAACGGUAGUUUACUCUUCGGAGUAAAUGAGAGUGGCAAACGGGUGAGUAACGCGUAAGUAACCUGUCCCUAAGUAGGGAAUAACUCUGAGAAAUUGGAGCUAAUACCGUAUGUGUUGGUGAGGAUAAGCCCUCAUCAAUGAAGUCUUAGGAUGCUUGGGGAGGGGCUUGCGUCCGAUUAGCUAGUUGGUAGGGUAAGGGCCUACCAAGGCAGUGAUCGGUAGCUAGUCUGAGAGGACGGUCAGCCACACUGGGACUGAGACACGGCCCAGACUCCUACGGGAGGCAGCAGCAAGGAAUUUUAUGCAAUGGGCGAAAGCCUGACAUAGCGACGCCGCGUGGGGGAUGAAGGCCUUCGGGUUGUAAACCCCUUUUCUCAGGGAAGAACAAUGACGGUACCUGAGGAAUAAGUCUCGGCUAACUACGUG
rnacentral:rRNA from 1 species